UACGGGAGGCAGCAGUGAGGAAUAUUGGACAAUGGGUUAGCGCCUGAUCCAGCCAUCCCGCGUGAAGGACGACGGCCCUAUGGGUUGUAAACUUCUUUUGUACAGGGAUAAACCUACUCUCGUGAGGGUAGCUGAAGGUACUGUACGAAUAAGCACCGGCUAACUCCGUGCCAGCAGCCGCGGUAAU
rnacentral:rRNA from 1 species